AUAUUUCCCCAGCAGGGAAUACACCAUAACCACAAAGGUGGUUUCCCCAAAGUGAGGCUUUUCCUUGCAUUCCAGAUGUGCUGACCCCUAUGAUUUCCUCAAAUGUGAGAAACUUUACUCCAUAUUUGUGGCCAUUGGAAACUAUGUUUGCACUCUCCCUU
ensembl:snRNA U1 U1 spliceosomal RNA